GAGUUUUGAUCCUGGCUCAGGAUGAACGCUAGCUACAGGCUUAACACAUGCAAGUCGAGGGGAAACGACAUCGAAAGCUUGCUUUUGAUGGGCGUCGACCGGCGUACGGGUGAGUAACGCGUAUCCAACCUGCCCACCACUUGGGGAUAACCUUGCGAAAGUAAGACUAAUACCCAAUGAUAUCUCUGGAAGGACAUCUGAAAGAGAUUAAAGAUUUAUCGGUGAUGGAUGGGGAUGCGUCUGAUUAGCUUGUUGGCGGGGUAACGGCCCACCAAGGCAACGAUCAGUAGGGGUUCUGAGAGGAAGGUCCCCCACAUUGGAACUGAGACACGGUCCAAACUCCUACGGGAGGCAGCA
rnacentral:rRNA from 1 species